UGGCGCAUUAUACUACUAGAAUUAGGCCAUUUUCCGACGGAAUCGUUCCGACGAACCUAAAUUUUCGUCGAAAUAUUCGAAUUUUCCGACGGAAUUAGCAUCCGUCAGAAAAUUCCGUCAGAAAAAGGUACGUUACGACGGAAAGUCCCUCAAACUUCUUGCGACGGAAUUAAAUUCCGUCGGAACAGGUUAUAAUACAACAUAACAUAGGAUGCUCAGCCUUGUUAUUCAAGAAAUUUCAGCAAAAGCAACAGAGGAGAGAGAAAAAAAGAACUAGAAAGAGAAAGAGAAAGAGGAAGAGGAAGAAAGAGGAAGAGUUGUCUCAAAUCCGCCGCCACCACCGGGUUCCACGCACCGCCUUGGCCGCCGUUUGCUAUCACCGACCACCGUUGCCACCAAAGCAAGGUUCUGCCGCCCUUGACGCCGCCGGUGCCACCACCGACGCCACCUCUGACCUCCUCCCCUCCGUCGCUGCGACCAGAACCACCACAAAUUCCGGUAAGUCCUCCUAACCUCCGACCUCCUCCCCUCCAUUGCUUUGGUGUUUGGUGAUUUAUGUUUAAGCUUAGAUGUUUGAGUGAAAGACAUUUUUUUUAUCUUUAAUUUUUGUGUAGGAUUUGUACAAUUAGUAGGUUGAAAACGUCACAUUACA